rnacentral:piRNA from 1 species
AUUGGAGAAAUGGCUGGUAGUUU